GACGAACGCUGGCGGCGUGCCUAACACAUGCAAGUCGAGCGGAGUCAGUAAGAGGAAGUUUUCGGAUGGAAUCUUAUUGAUUUAGCGGCGGACGGGUGAGUAACGCGUGAGCGACCAACCUUGCACAGGGGGAUAACGGACCGAAAGGUUCACUAAUACCGCAUGAGACCACGGUGUUGCAUGACACAGGGGUCAAAGGAGCAAUCCGGUGCAAGACGGGCUCGCGUCCGAUUAGGUAGUUGGAGGGGUAACGGCCCACCAAGCCUAUGAUCGGUAGCCGACCCGAGAGGGUGAUCGGCCACAUUGGAACUGAGAUACGGUCCAAACUCCUACGGGAGGCAGCAGUGGGGAAUAUUGGGCAAUGGGGGAAACCCUGACCCAGCAACGCCGCGUGAAGGAAGAAGGUUUUCGGAUUGUAAACUUCUGUCCUUGGUGAAGAGAAGAAGACGGUAGCCAAGGAGGAAGCCCCGGCUAACUACGUGCCAGCCGCCGCAGUAA
rnacentral:rRNA from 1 species